rnacentral:rRNA from 1 species
CGGCACUAGCGCGGUGGUCCCACCUGACCCCAUGCCGAACUCAGAAGUGAAACGCCGUAGCGCCGAUGGUAGUGUGGGGUCUCCCCAUGCGAGAGUAGGGAACUGCCAG